GAUCUGUGACAGUUGGAGCUCAAACUAGGCAGUCUUGAUUCCAGACUGCUCUGAACUAGUAUUUGAAGGAACUAAUGAACGUGACAUGUUAAAUGAAAGUUUGGGGACGUACACUCAGGAUGGAAGCAGGGGGACACAACAGAAAUGAAAGAAUUUUCUGUAGAUCUGGGAUCUGGACACCUGCCCCCCGUCAUGCACCCUCAGUCAUCACAGUCAUUAGACUGGACAUCUGCCUCCAUGGAGAAUAUGUGAAUACCUCUGAAUGUACUUCCUGGAGGAGCUGCCAAACUAUUUCCAGCAAUGACAAAACAUAGCAUGGAAGGCAGCAAACAAGAUGCUAACUGAUGGAGUGAAAUCCCCAGGAGAUGCAGAAGGCAAGUGCAGCUAACUGAGGCCUCAGGGGCAGGAGAUGCCCAUCAGGAUGAGAGCUAUGUCUUUCUCCAGUGAUGACUCUGCUUCUAUGAGGUCACCAGCAGUAGAACCAUAUCUUGCUGGCAUACACUUGGGAUGGCCCCGCCUCUUGGACUUCCAUCUGUCAUCAGGAGAACAUGACCAUCUGGAGUCAGUACAGAUCAUCAAUCCUUCCACAUAUACAAGUUCAUUUUAAAUUUUUAAAAAUAUAAUACAACUGAGAAGUCUUCAUUAAA
rnacentral:sRNA from 1 species